AACACUUGUCUGAGACUCAGGAUUCAACAUCCUGGCAGGGACACCUGGAGCCAGUACGAGUAGUCAGCUGAAAUGGCUCUUUGAAGCUCGAACAAAACUGUGUACUGGGAUCAGCAGAUGCACUGAUUCGUAAAGCUGCAGCAGCAGUCGCUGUACUAUGGACACGGCACACUCAGAAUCACCCGAGGAGGUCCAGAAGACACAGCAAAUUACAUGCAUAGGUGCCCAUCACCUCUCUCUGUUGCACCAAUGCUUCUUCCUUAACUCACACCUAUGGCCUCACUGAGGGGGGCUCCCGAUGAUCAACUGAUGAAGGAAGAAAGGAAAUUGGGCCUACUUGUCAGCGCAUGCACUGAAGAGAGGCCAUGUGAGGACGCAGUGAACAGAUGGCUGUUUGCAACCAAAGGCGAAAGCCCUCACCAGAUGCCAACCUUCUGGCACCUUGAUAUUGGACCUCCCAGCCUCCAGAACUGUGAAAUAAAUUUCUGUUGUUUAAGUCACCCAGUCUGCAGUGUUUCAUUAUGGUGGCCCCGAGCAGACUUAAGACACUGUGUAAACUCUAUUUUAAUUAAAGUCCUGUGAAUUUCCAGUGAACUGCACAUACAUGACGUAGACUGAGCUGUAAUCAAAGCUGCAUGAUAUGACGUGAUGCAUCUUCCUGAAGUAUUUUGUUUUACCCAAUGAGGGUAACAUAAAUUAUUUUCAUAUUAAAGUAUCCAUAUUCAUGUGUAUUAGAUGCAACAUGUAAAAGGGCCAUAGAUUUCUAAGGCAAACCAGACGACCCCCCCAGAAAAUUUUGUGCUUACUAUGGGAUAGCUCAGGCUUUGUAUCUAGAUCCUCUGGAGAGAUGCACUCAUUUAUAUGGAAAAGUUUGCAAAGCAUUCUUCUUAUUUUUUUUUGGACAGUUUAAUGCAGGUGCUAACUAUGCUUUUCAUCUGUAUUUCGUGUCUCUAAAAGGCAAGGAUUUUUAAAAACCACAACCACAACCUAUUAUCACAACUAAAACAAUUAGCAGUAAUUCCUUUGUAUCAUCCAAUAUCCAGUCAAUAUUCAAAUUUCUCCAGUUGUGUUAUAUACAUUGUAUAAAUAUAUCUGUAUGACUUAGAUUCACAGUUUGAAUUUAAUAAAUAGAUUUGAAAUUAGAAUUUGUUUGAAUCAGAAUUCAAGUAAGAUGCAAACACUGUUUCUUAAGUGUCUUUUAAUCUAUAGGUUCCCAGGCUAUUUUUUUCUCAUAAUUUAUUUGCUGGAGAAACUCGGUUGUUUGUCCUGCAGAACUUCCCGCAGUCUGGCCGUUGUGAUUGUACUCUUGUGGUAUCAUUUAA